rnacentral:tRNA from 1 species
AGUAAAGUCAGCUAAACAAGCUAUCGGGCCCAUACCCCGAAAAUGCCAUAUUGGCCUCUACUA